CCUACGGGAGGCUGCAGUGGGGAAUAUUGGACAAUGGGGGCAACCCUGAUCCAGUCAUGCCGCGUGUGUGAAGAAGGCCCUCGGGUUGUAAAGCACUUUCAGUGAGGAAGAACGCCUGGUGGUUAAUACCCAUCAGGAAAGACAUCACUCACAGAAGAAGCACCGGCUAACUCCGUGCCAGCAGCCGCGGUAAUACGGAGGGUGCGAGCGUUAAUCGGAAUUACUGGGCGUAAAGCGCGCGUAGGUGGCUUGAUAAGCCGGUUGUGAAAGCCCCGGGCUCAACCUGGGAACGGCAUCCGGAACUGUCAAGCUAGAGUGCAGGAGAGGAAGGUAGAAUUCCCGGUGUAGCGGUGAAAUGCGUAGAGAUCGGGAGGAAUACCAGUGGCGAAGGCGGCCUUCUGGACUGACACUGACACUGAGGUGCGAAAGCGUGGGUAGCAAACAGGAUUAGAUACCCGAGUAGUC
rnacentral:rRNA from 1 species